rnacentral:rRNA from 1 species
AGCAGCCGCGGUAAUUCCAGCUCCAAUAGCGUAUAUUAAAGUUGUUGCAGUUAAAAAGCUCGUAGUUGAAUUUCGGGGUUAGUAGGUUGGUCAUGCCCCUGGUAUGUACUGGUCUCACUGAUUCCUCCUUCCUUAUGAACCGUAAUGCCAUUAAUUUGGUGUUGCGGGAAAUUUGGACUGUUACUUUGAAAAAAUUUAGAGUGUUUAAAGCAAGCUAACGCUUGAAUACAUUAGCAUGGAAUAAUGAAAUAGGACGUUCGAUCUUAUUUUGUUGGUUUCUAGGAUUGACGUAAUGAUUAAUAGGGAUAGUUGGGGGCAUUAGUAUUCAAUUGUCAGAGGUGAAAUUCUUGGAUUUAUUGAAGGCUAACUACUGCGAAAGCAUUUGCCAAGGAUGUUUUCAUUAAUCAAGAACGAAAGUUAGGGGAUCGAAGACGAUCAGAUACCGUCGUAGUCUUAACCAUAAACUAUGCCGACUAGGGAUCGGAUGAUGUUAAUUUUUUAAUGACUCAUUCGGCGCCUU